rnacentral:rRNA from 1 species
ACGGGGUGCAGCAGGCGCGAAACCUUUACACUGCACGAAAGUGCGAUAAGGGGACUCCAAGUGCGAGGGCAUAUAGUCCUCGCUUUUUGCGACCGUAAGGUGGUCGCGGAAUAAGUGCUGGGCAAGACCGGUGCCAGCCGCCGCGGUAAUACCGGCAGCACGAGUGAUGACCGCUAUUAUUGGGCCUAAAGCGUCCGUAGCUGGCCGUGCAAGUCCAUCGGGAAAUCCGCGCGCUUAACGCGCGGGCGUCCGGUGGAAACUGCAUGGCUUGGGACCGGAAGACCUGAGGGGUACGUCCGGGGUAGGAGUGAAAUCCCGUAAUCCUGGACGGACCACCGGUGGCGAAAGCGCCUCAGGAAGACGGAUCCGACGGUGAGGGACGAAAGCUCGGGUCACGAACCGGAUUAGAUACCCGUGUAGUCC